rnacentral:rRNA from 1 species
CCUACGGGAGGCAGCAGUGGGGAAUAUUGGACAAUGGGCGAAAGCCUGAUCCAGCCAUGCCGCGUGUGUGAAGAAGGUCUUCGGAUUGUAAAGCACUUUAAGUUGGGAGGAAGGGUACUUACCUAAUACGUGAGUAUUUUGACGUUACCGACAGAAUAAGCACCGGCUAACUCUGUGCCAGCAGCCGCGGUAAU